rnacentral:misc_RNA from 1 species
UCGCGUUGGGUCUCUCUGCGUCUGUCCGUGUACGUGAAUCGCACUCGGUGGUGCGCGUUCAUUUGCCGGUGUUUUCUUCUGGUCGCCCGUGCGAGGCGCAGAACACGAAGACACGUCGACGGUGCGCGCGUGCGCGUGACGCCCCCCUCGCAGGCGCCAUUCGACUCCUCGCAUGUGAAUAGAAAGUAAGCGUACGCUUUGCAGAGGCCGCACACAACAGAAAUGCUUCGUCAGUCGUCGCUGCUGCGCUUCUCCACCUUCGCGCUCAAUCCGGAGACGUCGCGAGCGCCGCAUGGACCGCCGCGUGGUCUCAUCAACCGGUACAUCUCCAUGGGCCUUCCCCCAUGGGCGGCAUGGUGCAACCGAGUCAACCGACACGCCCUCUACCGCAUGAGCGACGUGUCGCCGCGCUCCUUCCUGCCCAAGGCGCCGCAUGAGAUGGACGUUAUUUGGAUGAACGAGCGGAUUCGGGAGCGGGUGCGGACGUCGCGUCAGGUCCAGCACGUCUACCGCCAGCUCAAGUACCCAUUUGUCAAGACCGGCAUUCACUAUAGCGACACGCUUGACCACUGGGUGCAGGUGCCCAUGGUGGAGGCAGCCAUGUUUGAGAUUGAGAAAGACGGAGGGUUCGACAACUUCAUUUUAAAGCGCUCCGGGCCAGAGCUUCGCUCCACCUAUGGCGAGCGCAUCCGUCGCCACCUGCUGGUUCGCCAAAAGGAGACUCAGAAAAAUUUUGUACUCGAUCAGCAAGCCAAGACACUCGCUGGGGUAGCACACGCGGAGCUCAUGAAGGCUACCAGUGAGGAGGAGCUCGAUGCGGUGCUAUCCAAGUACGGCAUGGACGCCGAGGAGUUCAAGCGGCUCAUGGCCAAGCGAGUCAUGGAGCAACGCAAGUCUUUAGCCACCGCCGGUUUGCAUAGUAAGUGAGUUCGACCACCCGCGUUGCUCCUGCGAGCAGCUGCGUAAUGCGUGUUGCACCUGCCUCCUCGUAUUGGUCUGUGCUGGUGAUGUUUUUUUUUUUUUUGUGCCCGCACCUGAGCCGUGCCAGGUCUUUUGGCCACCGGCGUAUGCGCGGACGCAUUCGUUUGGUUUGGCGAUUUGCGUGACUAACAACUGCUCUCUUCAUCUUUACUCCCGCCGCAGCCCAGGUUAGCGCACGUGACGUGGCACUGUUCAUGCACAACGUGCUGAUGACGCCGUAGUCGAUGCUGGGGCUGAGGCACGAGCGCCUCAACUGAUGCGGCGCACUGACCUUCUUAUGACGCCUUUGGGGGGAGAUUUGCGGCUUCCACGAUCAGUCGAGGGUGGGGCAUGUAUGCGCCUGCUGCUGCCUUUGAAGCGGGCUGCAGUGUCGAGCGGAGACACACGCCUCGUACUGCUGAUCAACCUUGCACGCCUCGAGCAGCUGCAGUCGCCUGCGUCUCUCCUUAACAGCUGAUGUUCUCUUCCCUCUAUCGCCUUCUCUCUUCUUCCCCAUGCAACAACGGAAACACCGCUGCUGGAAUCUACGACCCUGCGUACGUACACGAGCACGCACCCACAG